rnacentral:tRNA from 1 species
GUCGGUGUGGCGGAAUUGGCAGGCGCGCACGACUCAAAAUCGUGUUCUUCCGAGUGUACGUACCGGUCCGACCUCGGUCACCGAUA